rnacentral:rRNA from 1 species
UCAGGCUUUGCUUGGUGGUGAGAGUGGCGAACGGGUGAGUAAUGCGUGACCGACCUGCCCCAUACACCGGAAUAGCUCCUGGAAACGGGUGGUAAUGCCGGAUGCUCCAGUUGAUCGCAUGGUCUUCUGGGAAAGCUUUCGCGGUAUGGGAUGGGGUCGCGUCCUAUCAGCUUGACGGCGGGGUAACGGCCCACCGUGGCUUCGACGGGUAGCCGGCCUGAGAGGGCGACCGGCCACAUUGGGACUGAGAUACGGCCCAGACUCCUACGGGAGGCAGCAGUGGGGAAUAUUGCACAAUGGGCGCAAGCCUGAUGCAGCGACGCCGCGUGAGGGAUGGAGGCCUUCGGGUUGUAAACCUCUUUUAUCGGGGAGCAAGCGAGAGUGAGUUUACCCGUUGAAUAAGCACCGGCUAACUACGUGCCAGCAGCCGCGGUAAUACGUAGGGUGCAAGCGUUAUCCGGAAUUAUUGGGCGUAAAGGGCUCGUAGGCGGUUCGUCGCGUCCGGUGUGAAAGUCCAUCGCUUAACGGUGGAUCCGCGCCGGGUACGGCGGGCUUGAGUGCGGUAGGGGAGACUGGAAUUCCCGGUGUAA